rnacentral:lncRNA from 1 species
AUUCCACCGUCUUCCCCUCAAAUUGCAUUGAAGCCUUUUCCUGCUCUCUCUACCACGCGCCUAUUCUGAGCAAAAUUCAGCACACCUAUUCUGAGCAAGUCCCAUCCCAACCGGCUAUGCUACCAAACCCACCAUCUCAUCUCUUUGUGACUUCCUUCUUUAAGCCAGCAGGUCAGCUGCUACUCCUGCAGCCGCUUGAUUUGCUGAUCAUUCACAUGGCCUUUGUACUUCAGAGCAGGAGAAUUGGGUGCAGGUGAACUACUUUGCUUACACUAGCCGUUUUUCCCUCUUUCUCUGAUAUCCAAUUAACCCGUUUCUGUAUCGAUUUCGUCUCAUGUUGCCGAAUUGUUGGAGCCUCACGUGAUAGUUGUACUUCAAAGGAGUGAAAUGGGGAAUUUUUUUUUAGGUAUGCCAUUCUAUUCUGAUCAGCUUUGGUAUUCAAUUUUCCACCCAAAUUAUGCUUUCUAUUCAACCUUCAUCAUCCGUAUGAUUACGAUUACAAAUAUCUGCUUGGAUGUGAUUUUUCCCUUAUUCCAGUUCUGCUGAGAAGUAGGAUUCCUAUUCACUUAGCCUGUACCUUUUAUCUGUAUUUGCACGUCUCUUUCUCUAAUCACACUCUCAUUCUAACCUUCGUUCACUCUGGUUUUGGCUUUUUUCCCUCUUGAUUCGGUAUGUGCUAUUUCAUAUGGAAGUACAAUUUUUUGUUAUUUCCUUUUUGGUUUGAACAUUUGUUUUUUCUUCUUUUUAUUUCCUUACCAGGGUUUAAUGAAUCUAAAUUUUGUUCGAAUAUAGUGUUGAUUUUUUUGUUGGAUUUUCACAACAGAUGAAGAUCAGAAAUAGGUGAAUUUAUUUUGUUCUCAUUUUCGGCUGUGAUGAUACAAUAUUGUUGCCGUGAGUUGUGUUUCAGGCUUGAUACUAACUGGAUUUAAGCUGUAUCUUGGCGAGGAAACUCAGAUGCAUUUUGGAGUAUAUAUUAUUCCAGAACUGCAACUGAGUUUGCAGCCAUGGUUGUGCUCUUCUUCUUCGCCUGCCAUUGACAAACAAAUUGGAGCUUUACUUUUAAUUGUCAAAGUUCAUUGUUUUUUUCAUUUAUUAGUCCAACGGUAGCUUAGUUUGUUCUUCCGAAAUUCUCGUACAAAUUCAGUUAUACUUCAAGUAUUAUUACUCCCUGUUUUGAUGCUUUCUUAUCACUUAUCUCAGGUAUGUUAUGAUCCCUUACAAUGAUUGCUUAUGUUAUAUUUGCUUCAUUAACUCAAAAAAUGGUUUUAGUAUGACACUGCCUUCAAGUGAAUAUGUGAAAUCUCAUAGGCAUGGCUAUCAAAUGUUUGAUGAAAUGUCUGUCUGAAACUUGGGAUAAUUGGUUCUGAGGUUGAUUGCAAAUGCAACAAUAAAUCUAGAUGGUGUUUUUUGGAUCUCUUGAGAAGGUUCUUUAAACAAAAGAAUUGCUUCAUUUGUGUUUCUAUUGAUAUCUAAAACUAAUAAAUUAGCUUUAUUUUGAAUCAAAUGUUGGCCAUUUGAUGGAUUUUAGAGUAAUCUAAGUGGUUCAACAUUGUCACUCAACUUGCUGUCCAGAUUCUUCUUCUUCUCUGCAUUGAAUUCACUGGUAAGUUUCAAAACUUAUGUUAACUUAAAGGUCUUUUCCAAUUUUUUCCUAUUUUUUGAAAACUGAGUGUAGCGUAAAAUGAUUGUUUUUUGCUUCUUUUUUGGUGGCUUGAUAAUAUCAAACUCUUAAGAAAAAGUUCCGAGCUCAUUCAGGACCGCCAGCUCCCCAGGGCACUCCUUUUUUAUAUCUGAGAAGCACCCUCCGAUGUAGCAUUUUGGUGCUGUAGGAUAUGGGGUCACUGAAACAGGGAGGUUGUAGCCAUCCACUAUACUUACGUCGUAGAAACUCGGCUGCCUCUUGUCAACCUGCAACGUAAACUCUACUAGCGUCACAGGAGGAACGCCGAU